UUGUAGAGAACCCGUUAUCAUUGCCUGUCCCUGUGCCAUUGACCUACUCAUUCUUCCGUGGCAUCUCCUUCCUUGUUGCUUUCUUCCAUGAAGCAAGAGCACUUAUCUUUAUUCAUUGUUUUCUCCGUUUCUGAUCGCUGAAAAGGAAACAGGUCGGUUAUGUAUUCAAUUCCAAUACCAACAUUUCGAAUCUGAAAUAUUAAGUUAAAAAGCUUAUCCUUGCUCAAGAAAGGGUUCAGCUCUGAGGGGGAAGACUAGAAAGAAUCCAGCUGAAGAAAUUAAAGUUGAUGUAAAGGAAUUGCUGAUCAGAGCCAUUCAUGUCAUCAUGGGCAGAUGCUGUUCUUGAAGAUAAUAAUAGAGCAUAGAAGAAUUGCUUCAUGUGUUUGUGUCCUGUUUUAAAGAUUCGCCACCAGCUAAGUGAAAAGUGAAGGAGAUGGUGAGGGUUGGUGAAGUCAGAGGAGAAGGGAAGUUUAAUAGAGUUUCCUAUCGCAUCCCUCCUCAGGGCUUACCGCCUGUGAAAGAUUAUGAGGCAUUUGAAUCAAGAACAUUGGUUUUGGAGGAGAUUUAUGGAGGUGUUAAAGAAUGUUUGUUUAAUUGGAUAUAUGGAAUGGGAGGUGUAGGUAAGACUAUAUUAGUGAAAGAAAUUUCUUCUCAGAUCAUAAAUGAGCAACUUCAAAUGGAGAAGAAAGUUCUUGUAAUUCUUGAUGAUAUCUGGGGAAAAAAUUGAACUGGAGGAGAUAGGAAGAGGCAAGAUUUUGUCUCAAUUGCAUCCGGAAAUCAUCAUAUCUUUACUGUAGCAUAUGGCAUUGUAUUGGACAGAGAAUCACGGUGUAGCAUAUGUCAUUGUAUUGGACAGAGAAAUCACGGUGUAGUGUCAUUGUAUUGGACAGAGAUAUUAUGGUACCGAAGGGUGCGCUGCAGCCUCUCUGACUUGUUGCAAAAUCGCUGACAUUCUCAACUGUUUGAAUUCCAAAACUCAAGUAAUUUUUGCUAUUACGAUACUCAGUAGAAAGAAACCAUUUUUCCAAACUUGCUAAAUCACUUCAAUUUCUUGAAAACCUUCAAAUAUUGCGUCGCGUCAAAUAGCUAUGGUCUAAAUUGUAAAAGAUAUAGGAUAAAUUGCAUUAGCAGUGUUUGAAUUUUCCAAAUUUGCCAUUUCAAUUUUCAGUGUUAUUUUCUUUCCGAAAAAAGUAUAUAAACUUUAAAAGCAUUUCCAA